rnacentral:rRNA from 1 species
GCAGUCGAACGGAGAGCAUUCCUUCGGGGAUGUUUCUUAGUGGCGAACGGGUGAGUAACGCGUGAGCAACCUGCCUUUCAGUGGGGGACAACAGUUGGAAACGACUGCUAAUACCGCAUAAUGUUUCAUUUGGGCAUCCUUAUGAAACCAAAGAUUUAUUGCUGAAAGAUGGGCUCGCGUCUGAUUAGCUGGUUGGCGGGGUAACGGCCCACCAAGGCGACGAUCAGUAGCCGGACUGAGAGGUCGAUCGGCCACAUUGGGACUGAGAUACGGCCCAGACUCCUACGGGAGGCAGCAGUGGGGAAUAUUGGGCAAUGGGCGAAAGCCUGACCCAGCAACGCCGCGUGAGGGAAGAAGGUUCUCGGAUUGUAAACCUCUUUUACCAGGGAAGAAGAAAGUGACGGUACCUGGAGAAAAAGCCACGGCUAACUACGUGCCAGCAGCCGCGGUAAUACGUAGGUGGCAAGCGUUGUCCGGACUUUACUGGGUGUAAAGGGCGUGUAGGCGGGAAGGCAGGUCAGAUGUGAAAUGUCGGGGCUCAACCCCGGAACUGCAUUUGAAACCACUUUUCUUGAGUAUCGGAGAGGCAGGCGGACAUUCCUAGUUGUAGCGGUGAAAUGCAUAGAUAUUACGGAAGAACACCAGUGGCGAAGGCGGCCUGCUGGACGACAACUGACGCUGAGGCGCGAAAGCGUGGGGAGCAAACAGGCAUUCAGAUACCCUUGGUAGUCCAACGCCGUAAACGAUGGAUACUAGGUGUCGGGAGUAUUGAUCCUCUCCGUGCCGCCGUUAACACAGUAAGUAUCCCACCUGGGGAGUACGACCGCAAGGUUGAAACUCAAAGGAAUUGACGGGGGUCCGCACAAGCAGUGGAUUAUGUGGUUUAAUCCGACGCAACGCGAAGAACCUUACCAGGGCUUGACAUCCUACUAACGAAGCAGAGAUGCAUUAGGCCCUCGGAAAGGAC